UGAAGAAAUAGGAAUCUUGAUGAUGAAGGGAAAACAUGAUCAUGUUUAUUUUUAUAUGAUCGGAUGAAAAUUUUCCCUGUGGAUUUGCAGCAUUUAUAGGCCUGACAUCAGCUGCCACAAACAUGAAACAGCUCCACAAGAAAGUAAUCUCCAGAUGGCUACAUCAAGUUGGGGUCCGAGCCUAGAACCUAGAAGGGUAGAAGGAAAAAAGAUUUUUUCCUCCUCUACAAUUCCAGGAGGAAACUCAAGCGGGACGAGGACCAUGGGGAAAGGAACUGAAAUGCCUAGCCAAGAGCUAUAUGAGUAAACCACCUUGGAAGUGGAUCUUCCAGCCCCUGUUAAGUCUUCGGGUAACGGAGCCACACCUGACCUCUGACUACAAUAUCGUGAGAUACUCCUAAAUU